rnacentral:tRNA from 1 species
UCUAAUAUGGCAGAUUUAGUGCAAUAAAUUUAAGAUUUAUACAUGAGAUUAUUAGUCUUUGUUAGAA